ensembl:lncRNA
GCAUGUAAAUAUAAUAAUAACCACUGCAGCCAAGAAGAGUGCCUGACGAGCCCAGCUAGCACAGCGAUGGAGUGGUUUCUAAAAGUGAGCACGUUCUGCAUAAAUGGACGUUUUUGCUCUGUGACACUGAGACGAGAGCGAAGAGAGGGACCGACGUGUUGGAGAUGAGAACGUCUGCACUGGACUUUCCUCUGACAUACUGAUGGAGGAGCGUGGUGCGAUGUGGAUCAGGUGACCCUGAAUCCUCCCUCAGUUAGGCUGCAGUAGGUGUAGCCUGCUGGGGGAUUCCCAUGAUGCACUGGGUUCCUCUGAAUUAUUGUAGAGUCUUUACCUGACUGUAACAAAAUCACACACAGACACACACACACACACACACACACACACACACACACACACACACACACACACACACAGC